GGGCCUGUAGCUGAAAGCCCUAGUUUUGCAAAGACUAGAGAGGGUUUAACCCCAGGCCUU
rnacentral:tRNA from 1 species